CCUACGUGAUGCAGCAGUGAGGAAUAUUGGUCAAUGGGCUUACGCCUGAACCAGCCAAGUCGCGUGAGGGAAGACUGCCCUAUGGGUUGUAAACCUCUUUUGUCAGGGAGCAACGCCGGCUACGUGUAGCCGGACUGAGAGUACCUGAAGAAAAAGCAUCGGCUAACACCGUGCCAGCAGCCGCGGUAAUACGGAGGAUGCGAGCGUUAUUCGGAUUUAUUGGGUUUAAAGGGUGCGUAGGCGGAAUGCCAAGUCAGCGGUAAAAUCGCGGGGCUCAACCUCGCUCCGCCGUUGAAACUGGCGUUCUUGAGUGGGCGAGAAGUAUGCGGAAUGCGUGGUGUAGCGGUGAAAUGCAUAGAUAUCACGCAGAACUCCGAUUGCGAAGGCAGCAUACCGGCGCCCAACUGACGCUGAAGCACGAAAGCGUGGGUAUCGAACAGGAUUAGAUACCCCUGUAGUC
rnacentral:rRNA from 1 species